GUGGGGGAUAUUGCGCAAUGGGGGAAACCCUGACGCAGCAACGCCGCGUGAAGGAAGACGGUUUUCGGAUUGUAAACUUCUUUUGUUAAGGACGAACAAUGACGGUACUUAACGAAUAAGCUCCGGCUAACUACGUGCCAGCAGCCGCGGUAAUACGUAGGGAGCAAGCGUUGUCCGGAUUUACUGGGUGUAAAGGGUGCGUAGGCGGCAAAGCAAGUCAGAUGUGAAAUGCACGGGCUUAACCCGUGAGCUGCAUUUGAAACUGUUUUGCUUGAGUGAAGUAGAGGCAGGCGGAAUUCCCGGUGUAGCGGUGAAAUGCGUAGAGAUCGGGAGGAACACCAGUGGCGAAGGCGGCCUGCUGGGCUUUAACUGACGCUGAGGCACGAAAGCGUGGGUAGCAAACAGGA
rnacentral:rRNA from 1 species